rnacentral:rRNA from 1 species
UACGAAGGGGGCUAGCGUUGUUCGGAUUUACUGGGCGUAAAGCGCACGUAGGCGGACAUUUAAGUCAGGGGUGAAAAUCCCAGAGCUCAACUCUGGAACUGCCUUUGAUACUGGGUGUCUUGAGUAUGGAAGAGGUGAGUGGAAUUCCGAGUGUAGAGGUGAAAUUCGUAGAUAUUCGGAGGAACACCAGUGGCGAAGGCGGCUCACUGGUCCAUUACUGACGCUGAGGUGCGAAAGCGUGGGGAGCAAACAGG